rnacentral:rRNA from 1 species
UACGUAGGUCCCGAGCGUUGUCCGGAUUUAUUGGGCGGAAAGCGAGCGCAGGUGGUUUAAUAAGUCUGAUGUAAAAGGCAGUGGCUCAACCAUUGUGUGCAUUGGAAACUGUUAGACUUGAGUGCAGUAGAGGAGAGUGGAAUUCCAUGUGUAGCGGUGCAAUGCGUAGAUAUAUGGAGGAACACCGGUGGCGAAAGCGGCUCUCUGGACUGUAACUGACACUGAGGCUCGAAAGCGUGGGUAGCAAACAGG